rnacentral:tRNA from 1 species
CAAAAGGUAGUUUAAUAGAAAAUAUUAAUUUUGGAGAUUAAAGUUAUUUAUAGUUUCCUUUUGA